UAAAUUAAGCAUAAAAACACAUGGCGGUUGGUAGUCCGCCGCAUGAAAAUGUCAGUAACCUGCCCUCCCGGGUUGUCCAUUGCUUGAAAUCAUUUC
rfam:Enterococcus avium ATCC 14025 genomic scaffold acpMO-supercont1.1, whole genome shotgun sequence.